AACGAACGCUGACGUCAUGCCUAACACAUUCAAGUCGAACGAGACCUUCGGGUCCAGUGGCGCACGGGAUCGUAACGUGCGGGAAUCUGCCCUAGGGUUCGGAAUCACAGUUAGAAAUGACUGCUAAUACCCGAGGAUGACUUCGUUCCAAAAAUUCAUCGCCCAGGGAUGAGCCCGCGUCGGAUUAGCUAGUUGGUGAGGUAAAGGCUAACAAAGGCGACGAUCCGUAGCUGGUCUGAGAUGAUGAUCGGCCACACUGGGACUGAGACACGGCCCAGACUCGUACGGGAGGCAGCAGUGGGGAAUAUUGGACAAUGGGGGCAACCCUGAUCCAGCAAUGCCGCGUGAGUGAUGAAGGCCUUAGGGUUGUAAAGCUCUUUUACCCGGGAUGAUAAUGACAGUACCGGGAGAACAAGCCCCGGCUAACUCCGUGCCAGCCGCCGCGGUAAGAC
rnacentral:rRNA from 1 species